AUGGCAACAGGGCAUCAGGGCUGCAGGUAUGGCACCACGGCAGGGCUACAGGGCAGCAGGGUGGCAGAGCUGCAUGCCUCCCAGGGUAGCAGGGCUACAGGCAUUGAAGAGCAGCAGGGUAGCAGGGCGGCAGGUCUGCCAGCCUCACAGGGCAGCCGGGGUUCAGGGCAGCAGGGCGCCAGGGCUGUAGGCCUCGCAGGGACGCCGGGCUUCAGGGCAACAGGGCGGCAAUGCUGCAAGCCUCCCAAGGUGGCAGGGCUGCAGGCCUCUCAGGGAAGCCGGGGUGCAGGGCAGCAGGGCGACAGGGAUGCAGGCCUCCUAAGGUGGCAGGUCUGCAGGGCAACUGGGCCAUAG
rnacentral:lncRNA from 1 species